rnacentral:tRNA from 1 species
GCCGACUUAGCCUGACUUGUAAUCAGUAGGUCACCAGUUCGAUUCCGGUAGUCGGCACCA